rnacentral:snoRNA from 2 species
AGAACGCGCUAUUAGCUCCCAACGGGUAUGACUGCUUCCACUUGGGUUCCUGAGGCGUGUGAGAGUG